rnacentral:rRNA from 1 species
AAUAGAUACCCGGGUAGUCCACGCCGUAAACGAUGGAUACUAGCUGUUUGAGCGCAAGUUUGAGUGGCUAAGCGAAAGUGAUAAGUAUCCCACCUGGGGAGUACGGGCGCAAGCCUGAAACUCAAAGGAAUUGACGGGGGCCCGCACAAGCGGUGGAGCAUGUGGUUUAAUUCGAUGAUACGCGAGGAACCUUACCAGGGCUUAAAUGUAGAUUGACGUAUUUGGAAACAGAUAUUUCUUCGGACAAUUUACAAGGUGCUGCAUGGUUGUCGUCAGCUCGUGCCGUGAGGUGUCAGGUUAAGUCCUAUAACGAGCGCAACCCCUGUUGUUAGUUGCCAGCGAGUAAUGUCGGGAACUCUAGCAAGACUGCCAGUGUAAACUGUGAGGAAGGUGGGGAUGACGUCAAAUCAUCACGGCCCUUACGUCCUGGGCCACACACGUGCUACAAUGGCCGGUACAGAGAGCAGCCACUUAGCGAUAAGGAGCGAAUCUAUAAAGCCGGUCACAGUUCGGAUCGGAGUCUGCAAC